ACAUCUCCUUUUAUUCGUCUGCGUUACUGUAGCUACGAGGGAAGGGAUAAGGUCUCGAGUGCUCGCUUCCUCCGGCCGCCUCCUUCUCUUCCUCUUCCUCUUCCUCUCCCUCGGCGUAGCCCCUCCACCUCCCUCCUCCAUCGACGGCGCCUGGUCCAGAUGGGGCUCAUCUCGUCUCCAUGGAGAGCAGGGGUGGACAGUGGGAAGCGGUGGGGAGAAGCGAGCGGCAGCCGGCAGGGAGAGCCACGACGGGGUGGGCAGUGGGAAGCGGUGGGGAGAAGCGAGCGCCUGCCGGCAGGGAGAGCCACGACGAUGGUCGGCGUCAGCUGCCACUUCCUCCCCCCGCCGGCGCCGCGAGGCCGCCGAGCCCGCGCCCGAGCUUCCCGUCCGUGAGCGGUCACUCUGCCCACCGGCCGUCCCUCGUCUGUGUGCUUCUUCUCGGGAUGCUGACGCCAUGGAGCUCAUCAAGCUCCCUCUCUGCUGCAGGAGGAUUGGAUCGGAUUGGUUUCUACAUGCUCUAUUAUCUGUUUGAGAACUGAGUUGCGGCCCUCCAAAUCUUCAGCCCCAGAAGGAGGAUUUGAGAGUGGAGAAGGGUCAACUGAAUGUGAUUUGGAGGAAGGAGUUGUCCAGGAAUCAAAAUGUUAUUAUUCUACUAUUCUGCAGGGGAGAAUCUAAAGAUUAUUUGUUUCUUUUUAUGCCUGCAGAUCGCGUUUAGUGUUUGGGAUUCACACCCUACAUUGAUAAGGUCUGAAUUUAACAUCCACUUUUAACACUGGGAUCCUCAAGUGUUUCAGUUCGUACUUUGCCGACGUACAAUCUAUUGGCCACAUUUUCUAGCACACUUAUUCCAACUGAAGUCAGCUCCUGCUUGCACUUCUCCACUGAGUGAAUACUAAUAGUUCUAAAAAGAUAAACCACCCAUAGAAUUGGUUCUAAUUAGAUCCUCUGAAAGAUGCAAGCAGCUAGAGUACCUUAGUCCAUAGGAGUCCUGCAACUGGUUCAGAAGUUCUUGAGUAAACUGGAUCAGUGAGAAUAUUAAUUGAGUCGCUGCUCAAGAAACAAAAUAGAAUAACGACAGCGUAGCUAAUACCAUUUGUCUGUGCAUGAUGUAUUUUGAUCUCAAGUGCAUUUGAAUGGCUUGAUUUUUGCAGAGAUCUUGUCACCUGCGCCCUUGUUUGGUCGUACAUAAAACUGUCAUCUUGCUUUAAAGUCAAGUGGUCAGGUCUUUGAUAGUACGCAUGGGUGAACCCACCUUUUGUUGAAUUUGGGAACCGUCUAAUAUAGCUAUUUUUUAAGAAGGAGCUUGAACAGAUCUCAGUAUAUGUUAAUUUUGUAGAACUAAAGGUUAGCACAGAAUUGUAUGGUUUUAUUUUCUGGGUCAAAAGCUUGAUUCAUGCAGUACAUUCUCUAAUUCUUGAUACAUUUCAGUAUUCAAUUUUUUCAUUAACAAUACAAAAUAGUCAUCUUGCUUCAGAUUCAAGUGACCAGGUCGGUGUCGGCCUGCCCAUAGCGCCUCCACUCCAUCCCCCUCUGCGUCACUCCUACCACCGCUCGAGGCCAUGGCCAUGAUGCCGCCGGUGGAGUAUUAUUUUUCUACGUUUUAUCCAUGUGGAUCUAACCUUACAUCUACUGGCCAACCUUUUGAUGAAGCUGUAAUUGUGCCUGACUGACUAGAUCACCACAUGCAGACUAUUCAUUCCCUGCCAAACUGCACAUGCUAGCCACUAUUUGAAGAUGACGUUGUAAAAAAAUGCAUAAGCUGGGGAUGGCAUGGUGAUGCUGCUGGUCGAGAAGUACCAUCCCAUUCUUUCCUUACCUGCCAAUGCUUCCUCCUGCCUUGCCAGCUACGCGUGUCCUCACCUUUGUUCAUCAAUUCGUGUGCAGGUAUGAAUCGGUGAUGUUUUUGACGCCCAUAGAGCCAUUACCUCGUGCAUGUGUAUUUUGUGUGCCAGUUUACCAGUUAGUGAGUGAUAAUGUCCGCAUGAAUGUUUCAUCGUUUAGCAAGUGAUCAGCAACAUGCAUCUCUUACUUUUGGAUUGAAGUGCAGAUCUUGCUAAAGAGAUGACCAUGGAGUCAUUUAUGUAUUCUUAUGCCCCAAUGCUUCAUUAAUUAUUCUUAUUAUGCAAUAUAAAAUUAUUUCUUACCGUCUUCUAUUGUUUCCUCUGAUUUUCUCAGUUAUUCAGAGAACACCACAUGUUACAUGAAUUCUAGACUACUUUCCUAGAGGUAGUUGUUAGAAUCAUCUUCUUGAAUUUGCCUGCUUAGCAUCUAAUAUUUCACACUCGCCAAUUGUAAUAUCUCACGCUUGCCAAUUUUUAGAAUCAGGUUCUUGAGUUUGCAUGCUUAACCGUGUCCCUAUGCAAUUGCUCACCAACCUCGCCAAUUGUGAGUUUGUCCCACAUAGUGGAGUUUCUGUGAGUUUUUGUAGUCUAUAAAUUCUUGGAAAUUCUCUUGUUGCUGCUAUAAUGUGGGUGUGUUCGGCUUCCUUCUUCAUUUAAGGUGAAUCCUUGCUUCCAGGUUGGCCUAUGAAAUGAUGUAGUUUCUGCUGGAAAAUAAGUUGUUAUGCAAUUAUAGUUAGGUUGCCAAUUUUCCUUCAUAACUGCAUUUAAUGGGUAGCUGUUAUGCUCACUUUGCUCAAAGAAAGGUUGUCUUGCCAUGCUACUUUGUGCUUUAAGAAAUAGGCUGACACCAAACCAGUAAUCCUAGACUUCUGCUUUGUUGGCCGAAAGUUACUAAUUUUGUUUUUCUUGUUAUCUUUAGCCAUUCCAAAACAUUUAUCUGGUUUUGUAGAAUUACAGACCAUAGAAUUAUAGCCGGCCAUAUUUUUGAAUGCGUGAACCUCACAUAGAUAUCAUGCUAAUGUAGUUUGACGGAAGUCGUAAAACCAAUGGAUAGGCAUCGUCUUCUGCUAAGGUUCCUUUCACCCUUCUUUAGAACCCAACAAGAAUUCAUCAAAAAAUUAAAGAUCUUGGUUAGUGAUUCGUUUCAAUGGCCGGUAUAGUAAGGCUACAUUAAUUAUCAAAUUAUUCUUCAUUUCUUUUUGCCUGCCCUUGUUUAACAACCUAAUACUGAUUGAUCAGGUAUAUUGCAAUGAGUGCUUACUUAUGGUUUGUCCCCUGUUAUUUUUUGAUUCCAGUCUUCAUACUUUCAGACACCUUCGAUAUAUAUAGGAAGAAGAAAGUAUUCGCUCCAGACGAAGAUGUCUAGCUUGCCUGUGUGCUGUAACAUUAAUCAGUGCAUCGGGCCCAACGAUUUCUGUCAUUGGAACCUUGAUGAUUUAUCUCAUUUCAACGUAAUCUAACCCCUCUGAUUUUUGUCAGUACAUGAUUGUAUACCUCCUAUGCCCGCUUAAUUCUGUGUUCAUUUUGUUAAUCAAGAAACAUCUGAUUUUAUGGCUGGGUACGUUGAAAAUAUAUAAAACCUUUCUUCUUUUGGAUAAUUUGUUUUCCUUUGACCAAUCUUUGUUACUUGCCUACACAUCUGUGCACAGCGUGCUGCUCCAGCGCGACCGCUUCGUGUGUUGCCUCGAGUCGCGUGGCCACUACUCUCUCGCCAAGGCGGAGGCAGCUUCCACUCUCGACGCCCUCUGCUGCGCGCUCUCGCAGGCGGCGUUCGCAAAGCCUUGUCACAGCGCUGCAAGUGUUGCCCCCCUCCUCCCCAAGGGCAAGGUGAAGGAAGGUGCCUGUGUGGUUCUUCUGCAGCUCGCGGCAAGGAUUGUUGUGUCCAACCUACAUAAGAAUGCCAAGAAGUCCUUCUCGGAGAUGAUUAAGGACAUGUACCUCCACUACAAUGGGAGAUCUGGGCUGCUUCUUUGUGGCUUCCAAACUUGAAAUAUUUGUUUGAAAGUUAGUUUAGUUUUUUGUUGUGGAUUCACAGCUUCUCACAUGUACCAUCCUCUUAGACCUUUAGAUUUCUAAAGAAACUAAAUGAAGAUAUGGUGGUAUGGUCUCAAUAGUA